AAUAUAAUAAUAUUUAAUAUAAUAUUGAGAAGCAUAGUUUUUUAAGGCCCUUAUUUUCAUAUGUUCGAAUUCUUAUACAGAUAAUAUGUUAAUUGCAUAUUGUUUGUUAAUUAAGAAAAAGAUAAGACUUUAAUGGCAAAUCUACCAAUUAGCAUACCAUAUUUAAUAUUUUCUCUUUGAAAGCUUUCAGUUUUUUGAAGAAAACCAACUCUGGACAGAUUCAGUAAUUCUUCCUUUAUAAUUCAGAUUGCUAAGCUUUUUCAAUAUGUGAAAAUCUGUUAAGGAUUGUCAUUCCUCACACCUUUUUGAGAGAGAGAGUGUAGCCACACCUGGUACUCAGAAGUGUGUAGGGAUGACUGUUCUCUCUGACAGGGAGGCAAUCUGUAUCUGAAGUGAAGAGAGGCUGGACAGGAAUGAGACACUGCCCAUCUCUGGCAGAACUAGAAAUGUGGCUCAUUGGAUAGACUGUAGAACUGCCAUGACUAAGGCUCAGUCCUAGAUAACAUCUUUAACUAGGAAAGAAAAUAAGUCAUCUGUUUAUUAAUUCAGAUACUGUCUAUAGAUGUAUUGUCAAGGGCAGUCUUUUUUUUCUAAGAUUUUAUUUUGAUUAAAACCUUUUGCAAAAAAUGAUGUAUUUGACACCUCAUACAUUUUAUCAGAGACCUGUCAUAAGCAAUCUGGAAUUAAGAUAAAGAAUGUCUCCUUAAGCAAACAAAUAAUCUUUGAAGUUGCCAACUGUUCUCUUUGGCUAGAGAGACAUUAGAACGUUGUCACUUUUAGAAUAUGUCACACAGCCAUGGCUGACUUUUAACACCUUAGCUAACUCUAAGAGUUGGAGAAGAGGUUAAACAAUUUUCCGAAGGUCUUUCAAUCUUGACAACAGGGUCUGGGUCUUUUGAAUUCCCCAAGUCUCCACAUUUUUUGGUAAUCACUAGCAUGUAUUGCAUCAAUAAACACCUAUAAACAUGUAGUGGGUGCCUACAAUUUGCCAGCCAGUAUUCUGGGAGCUGGCACACAGAUAUGAGUAUCACAUAGUCUGGUUGACAGGAGAGAGAAAUAAACAAACUUGCAGAGAUGUGAUAAACGCUGUGACCAAGACAAGCACAGGGUGAAGAGAGUGCCUGAAGGAGGAGCAGCUGAUCCAGAACCUAACCUAGACCAGGAUAUAGGGAGACUUCCCAGGGCAGGGAGUGGCCUCAGGCAAGUCAUGGGGUUGCAGAGUAGGAAAGUCCGACUCUUCAUGACCCCGCGGACUGUAACCUGCCAGGCUCCUCUGUCCAUGGAAUUUUCCAGGCGAGAAUACUGGAGUGGGUUGCCUACUCCAGGGGAUCCUCCAGACCCUGUGAUCAAAACCCUGUUCCCUGCAUUGGAAAGCAGAUCCCUUACCACUUUGCUACCUGGGAAGCCCGUUUUUAAGUUGGACGCGUUCAAAUCAAAUUUCUCGUCUGCAGGUAUAUAUUUUAUACACUCUUAAAAUGAUUACAAUGAUUAUUUUAAAAAUAAUUGAGUAAACGAAUGAUCACAGUUGUUUUUUCUGUCAUACCUAGACAACGAUCAUUUUAUGUAGCACCACGUCUGUACAUGAAGGAGGGUGAUCAGUCAUACAAUAGCAGUUAAAGGCUAAUGUUCUAAACAGUAACCCAGCCUUUGUAAACGUCAGUUCUAUUUUACAAAAUCAUAUGAUUUAUUUAUUGCUUUCAUAUUACGUAUCAUUUGCUCUGAUGCUUCCGUGGGUACGUGUUAGGCUUCUUGGUAUUUAUUUCCAGGAUUCAGUCAUUUUAAUGCAGUAGUUUGUGACCUGUUCUGGAAAGACUUCUACUGGAAGAGAUGGGAACACUGACUGGACACCACAUGUUGGCUGCCACCUGCCUCAGUAAAGACAAGGGAAAGUUUUCAUCUUCAGGGAGCUUAUAAUUUAUCAGAUGGGCCAUGCGGACAAGGUGUGCACACAAAAGGCUGUACACAGCGGAAGAAAAUGCCAGAAAAAAGUCUUGUCAGCCUGUAUUAGAAAAUGGAAAUGUGACUAAAGCUCUCUGGCAAAGACAACUAAUAACCAUUCUACAAUGAAUCAUCCUUUUGUGAAACAAAGUCGAUCUCCUGGAAUAAAGCUUUUAAGCUGGUGGCCAAGGGAUUAGCUUUCAUGUGUUAUUAGAUGUUUAAAAAUUGGGUGAUUGUCGUAAACUGCCGAAGGCUGAGUUGGGGGCAUUACCAGAGUCUAUGCCAUUCAUUGGCUAUAACCAUUUCUUCCCCUUCCCAGGCCCCAAAGUUGAUGUCAUUUUUUCUAAAUGUUCUUGGGGGUCAUUAUAAAGUUCCUUCUUGAAGUGCAUUUUGAAAUAGGUGAUGACGAAGUUUCGUAAAGUGUGUUACAAGUGUGUGUUACAUGUAAUUAGUUUCCUAAAAUAGUCUUUCUUGUUGGUAAAAGUGUAAAGAAUAACAACCACUUGGAAAGGGAUUUUAAUAAUUACAAUAAAAAUUUUAAAUGCAUG